AUUCUUGGAGCUGCCUCGGUUUGACCGUACAUAAUAAAAAAGCGUUUAUGUCGUUUCAAAGCUUCGGUAGCAAAGU
rnacentral:tRNA from 1 species